UACGUAGGUGGCGAGCGUUGUCCGGAUUUACUGGGCGUAAAGAGCGCGCAGGCGGUCGUUCAAGUCGCGUGUGAAAGCCCCCGGCUCAACUGGGGAGGGUCACGCGAUACUGAUCGACUCGAAGGCAGGAGAGGGAAGUGGAAUUCCCGGUGUAGUGGUGAAAUGCGUAGAUAUCGGGAGGAACACCGGUGGCGAAGGCGGCAUCCUGGACCGGUAUUGACGCUGAGGAGCGAAAGCCAGGGGAGCAAACGGG
rnacentral:rRNA from 1 species